CACGGGGGGAGCAAGCGUUGUUCGGAAUUACUGGGCGUAAAGGGCGCGUAGGCGGACAGUUUAGUCAGAGGUGAAAGCCCAGGGCUCAACCUUGGAAUUGCCUUUGAUACUGGCUGUCUUGAGUUCGGGAGAGGUGAGUGGAAUGCCGAGUGUAGAGGUGAAAUUCGUAGAUAUUCGGCGGAACACCAGUGGCGAAGGCGACUCACUGGCCCGAUACUGACGCUGAGGCGCGAAAGCGUGGGGAGCAAACAGG
rnacentral:rRNA from 1 species